CCUACGGGCGGCUGCAGUGGGGAAUAUUGGACAAUGGGGGGAACCCUGAUCCAGCCAUGCCGCGUGUGUGAAGAAGGCCCUCGGGUUGUAAAGCACUUUCAGUGAGGAAGAACGCCUGGUAGUUAAUACCCAUCAGGAAAGACAUCACUCACAGAAGAAGCACCGGCUAACUCCGUGCCAGCAGCCGCGGUAAUACGGAGGGUGCGAGCGUUAAUCGGAAUUACUGGGCGUAAAGCGCGCGUAGGUGGCUUGAUAAGCCGGUUGUGAAAGCCCCGGGCUCAACCUGGGAACGGCAUCCGGAACUGUCAAGCUAGAGUGCAGGAGAGGAAGGUAGAAUUCCCGGUGUAGCGGUGAAAUGCGUAGAGAUCGGGAGGAAUACCAGUGGCGAAGGCGGCCUUCUGGACUGACACUGACACUGAGGUGCGAAAGCGUGGGUAGCAAACAGGAUUAGAUACCCUGGUAGUC
rnacentral:rRNA from 1 species